UACGGAAGGCAGCAGUGGGGAAUAUUGCACAAUGGGCGCAAGCCUGAUGCAGCCAUGCCGCGUGUAUGAAGAAGGCCUUCGGGUUGUAAAGUACUUUCAGUCGUGAGGAAGGUGUUAAGGUUAAUAACCUUAGCAAUUGACGUUAGCGACAGAAGAAGCACCGGCUAACUCCGUGCCAGCAGCCGCGGUAAUACGGAGGGUGCGAGCGUUAAUCGGAAUUACUGGGCGUAAAGGGCACGCAGGCGGUUAAUUAAGUUGGAUGUGAAAUCCCCGGGCUUAACCUGGGAAUGGCAUUCAAGACUGGUUAGCUAGAGUCUUGUAGAGGGGGUAGAAUUCCAUGUGUAGCGGUGAAAUGCGUAGAGAUGUGGAGGAAUACCGGUGGCGAAGGCGGCCCCUGGGCAAAGGCUGACGCUCAUGUGCGAAAGCGUGGGGAGCAAACGAGGAUUAGAUACC
rnacentral:rRNA from 1 species